CCUACGGGAGACUGCAGUGAGGAAUAUUGGUCAAUGGGCGAGAGCCUGAACCAGCCAAGUCGCGUGAAGGAUGACGGCCCUACGGGUUGUAAACUUCUUUUGUCAGGGAGCAAUUGAGUCCACGUGUGGGCUUAGCGAGAGUACCUGAAGAAAAAGCAUCGGCUAACUCCGUGCCAGCAGCCGCGGUAAUACGUAGGUGGCAAGCGUUGUCCGGAUUUACUGGGUGUAAAGGGCGUGCAGCCGGGAAGACAAGUCAGAUGUGAAAUCCCGCGGCUCAACCGCGGAACUGCAUUUGAAACUGUUUUUCUUGAGUACCGGAGAGGUCAUCGGAAUUCCUUGUGUAGCGGUGAAAUGCGUAGAUAUAAGGAAGAACACCAGUGGCGAAGGCGGAUGACUGGACGGCAACUGACGGUGAGGCGCGAAAGCGUGGGGAGCAAACAGGAUUAGAUACCCCGGUAGUC
rnacentral:rRNA from 1 species